rnacentral:rRNA from 1 species
UGCCAGCCGCCGCGGUAAUACGGAGGGGGUUAGCGUUGUUCGGAAUUACUGGGCGUAAAGCGCGCGUAGGCGGACUAUUAAGUCAGGGGUGAAAUCCCGGGGCUCAACCCCGGAACUGCCCUUGAUACUGGUAGUCUUGAGGUCGAGAGAGGUGAGUGGAAUUCCGAGUGUAGAGGUGAAAUUCGUAGAUAUUCGGAGGAACACCAGUGGCGAAGGCGACUACCUGGCUCGAUAUUGACGCUGAGGUGCCAAAGCGCCGGGAUCAAACCGGAUUAGAUA